CGGGCUGUACACUCGAUCUCCAG
rnacentral:siRNA from 1 species